AUACGUAGGGGGCGAGCGUUGUCCGGAAUGAUUGGGCGUAAAGGGCGCGUAGGCGGCCCGGUAAGUCUGGAGUGAAAGUCCUGUUUUUAAGAUGGGAAUUGCUUUGGAUACUGUCGGGCUUGAGUGCAGGAGAGGUAAGUGGAAUUCCCAGUGUAGCGGUGAAAUGCGUAGAGAUUGGGAGGAACACCAGUGGCGAAGGCGACUUUCUGGGCUGUAACGGACGCUGAGGCGCGAAAGAGUGGGGAGCAAACAGGAUUAGAUACCCUGGUAGUCCACACUGUAAACGAUGAAUGCUAGGUGUAGGGGGUAUCGACCCCUUCUGUGCCGCAGUCAACACAAUAAGCAUUCCGCCUGGGGAGUACGGCCGCAAGGUUGAAACUCAAAGGAAUUGACGGGG
rnacentral:rRNA from 1 species